AUUGAACGCUGGCGGCAUGCUUUACACAUGCAAGUCGAACGGCAGCGCGGGCUUCUGCCUGGCGGCGCGUGGCGCAUGGGUGAGUAAUGCAUCGGAACGUGCCCCGCAGUGGGGUAUAGCCCGUCCAAAGCCGGAUUACUACCGCCUACGACCUGCGCGUGAAAGCGGGGGACCGAAAGGCCUCUCGCUCUUUGAGCGGCCGAUGUCGGAUUUGCUAGUUGGUGGGGUAAAGGCUUACUUAGGCGACGAUCCGUAGCUGGUCGGAGAGGACGACCAGCCACACUGGGACUGAGACACGGCCCAGACUCCUACGGGAGGCAGCAGAGGGGAAUUGUGGACAAUGGGGGCAAACCUGAUCCAGCCAGGCCGAGUGCGGGAAGAAGGCCUUCGGGUUGUAAACCGGUUUUGUUCGGGAAGAAAUCCUCUGGGCUAAGACGCCGGGGGGAUGACGGUACCGGAAGAAGAAGCACCGGCUAACUACGUG
rnacentral:rRNA from 1 species